GGGAGAGGAAAGGAGCUCGAGUUAGACAGAUAGGCAGACACUUUAUUGAUCCCAAAGGAAAUUACAGAGUUAUGGCACAAUAUAUUAGAAGAGUAGUAGAAAUAAUAAAAAAAUAGGUUACCAGAAACAGCCUAACAGGAGGGAGUCAUCACUUCCCCGGCUGUAAGUUGACUCAUUAUCGAGCCUAAUGGCCGAGGGUAAGACUGACCUCUUUGGAGCAGCGCAGUUGUCUCAGUCUGUUACUAAAAGUGCUCCUCUGUUCAGCCAAGGUGGCACGCAGAGGGUGAGAAACAUUGUCCAGAAUUGCCAGGGUUUUCCGUCGGGUCCUUUGUUCUGCCGCGGCCUCCAGUGUGUCCGGUUUGACUCCUGUAACAGGGCCAGCCUUUCCAAUCAGUUUAUUGAGCCUGUCGGCAUCACCCCGUGUCGAUGCCAUUGCCCUGGCUCACCACCGCGUGGAAGAUUGUACUGGCGACAACAGGCCAGUAAGAACGUGUGAAGGGGAGCUCCCGCGAGCGGUACCCACGCCUGUCCGAGGUGGUGGCAUUGCGGCUGAGGGCGACGGGGCGAGAUUCCACCGAAUGGGUUGGAGCGUGGAGCCAGGAUCAAGUCUUGCUGCACUGGAUUUCGAGCUGGAGAUACGUCUCGACCAAAGGAGGUGUAAGGCGCUCCUUCCCUCCGCUAGCCUGCAGGUCACCCUUGCUUAACAGUGCAACGAAACACACAGAAACAUAGAAAGCCUACAGCACACUACAGGCCCUUUGGCCCGCAAAGCUAUGCUGAACAUGUCCCUACCUUAGAAAUUACCCGGGCUUACCCAUAGCCCUCUGUUUUUCUAAGCUCCAUGUACCUGUCCAGGAGUCUCUUAAAAGACCCUAUCGUAUCCGCCUCCACCACCGUUGCCCAUUCCACUCACUCACCACUCUCCGCAUAAAAAACUGACCCCUGACAUCUCCUCUGUACCUACUCCCCAGCACCUUAAACCUGUGUCCUCUUGUGUUAGCCAUUUCAGCCCUGGGGGAAAAGCCCUUGACUAUCCACACAAUCAAUGCCUCUCCAUCUUAAACCCUUCUAUCAGGUAAAACUCUUAGGCACAUAUACAUAUAGCUGGGGUGCACAGUACUGUCAUAAUUUUAUAUAUUGUACUGUACUGCUGCCACAAAAAAUAAAUUUUAUGACAUACAUGAGUGAUGAUAAACCUGAUUCUGAUACGGGUCUCUAUUGGGGACUGAGAGUGGGAAGGGAACAGGGAGAGGGAAAAGGGAAAGGGAGCGGGAAGCACCAAAGAGACAUUCUGUAAUGAUCAAACCAAUUCUUUGGAAAUCAAAUGACCUUGCCUGGUGAAGAAAGCACGUUGGCCUUCAUAACAAGGGGAGUUGAGUACAGGAGCAAAGGGGUCAUUCUGCAGCUGUACAGGGCCCUGGUGAGACCACACCUGGAGUAUUGUGUUCGGUUUUGGUCUCCAAAUUUGAAGAAAGACAUUCUUGCUAUUGAGGGAGUGCAGCAUAGGUUCACGAGGUUAAUUCCCGGGAGGGCGGGACUGUCAUAUGUUGAAAGAUUAGAGCGACUGGGCUUGUAUACACUGGAAUUUAGAAGGAUGAGAGGGGAUCUGAUUGAAACAUAUAAGAUUAUUAAGGGAUUGGACACGCUAGAGGCAGGAAACAUGUUCCCGAUGUUGGGGGAGUCCAGAACCAAAGGCCACAGUUUAAGAAUAAGGGGUAGGCCAUUUAGGAAAAACUUUUUCACCCAGAGAGUAGUGGAUCUGUGGAAUGCUCUGCCUCAGAAGGCAGUGGAGGCCAAUUCUCUGGAUGUUUUCAAGAAAGAGUUAGAUAGAGCUCUUAAAGAUAGCGGAGUCAAGGGAUCUGGGGAGAAGGCAGGAAUGGGGUGCUGAUUGUGGAUGAUCAGCCGUGAUCACAGUGAAUGCCGGUGCAGGCUCGAAGGGCCAAAUGGCCUACUCCUGCGCCUGUUGUCUAUUGUUUCAGGGUUGGGUGUAUCUGCACCAUCACUGCCCCUGGCACUCCUUCUCUGUUCCCCCUGUCCCUCAUCCCCUCCUGUGGCGCUCUGCCCUCGCCAUUCCCAACAUCCUUUGCACCCGCCAGAUUUACAAACUCGCCCUCUGCUCCACAGUGACAAACGCAGUACUGCGCAAAAGCCUCAGGCACUAUACAGAGUGCCUAUAAAAAGCACUCGCUCUCUUGGAAAUUUCCACGUUUUAUUGUUUUACAACGUCGAAUCACAGUGGAUUUAACUUGGCUUUUUUGACUCUGACCAACAGGGAGAGACUCUUUCGUGUCAAAGUGAAAACAGAUCUUUGCAAAGUGACUUAAAUUAACUACAAAUAUAAAACACAAACUAAUCGAUUGCUCAGAAUAACUGAUGCCAAGAUUAAGGAAGGCAUUUUUGUUGGUCCACGAAUCAAACAGGACAUCAAUGACAGACAAUUCGAAGAACUUCUAGUGGGGCCGGAGAAAAUCACAUGGAAGGCGUUCAAGGAUGUUGUUACUUCUUCUCUGCCAAUCGUGGCGCUGUCAGUGAUGAGCUCGGUGAAAGGUUUCACCAGGACAUUGUGGUCAUGGAGAAACGUUACCAGGGCAACUGGAAUCCAUCUGAUUAUCAUUGGACACUUCAGCGAGAAGCCUCAGACACUGAGUACAAAUAAAAAUCAUCAACAAAGCAUUUUUAGUUGAGCUGGACUCUUGCAAAGUGUCAGCGCUGUUUGCAAUUAAACAAAUUAUAUUCCACAAAUGUUAAUUUUUUGUUUCUCCAAAUUCCCACGUGAAGCAAGUGGCCUGAAGCUAUAUUUGUGUUCAGCUUCAAGCGGCCUAUCGCAAACAAAAACAAAAAAUUCUGAGGAGACAACGCUUCCGAGAAAGGUUUGAUCAAGGAGCUGGAACUUGAACAGGUGAGCAAUUUGAUUCUCGGUCACACUGGAGGCGGGGGAGGUGUCACCAGACUUGGGAGCAGUGCUGGUCAGACACAGGAUGAGGAUGAGUGCCUUAGGGUUUGAUCCACCAUUCCGGGCCCCAAACAGUCCUUCCAGGUGAGGCAACACUUCACUUGGGGCCAUCUGUGCUCCCGGUGCAGCCUCCUCUACAUCGGCGAGACCUGACGCAGACUGGGGGACUGCUCCGUCCACCACGACAGACAGGAUCUUCCAGUUGCCACUCACUUCAGCUCUGCUUCACGUUCCCAUUCGGAUAUGCCCAUACAUAGCCUCCUCUAGUGCCAUGAUGAGGAGCAACACCUCAUAUACCAUCCGGGUAGUUUCCAGCCCCUUGGCAUGGACAUUGAAUUCUCCAGCUUCUGAUAAUUCCCUCCCUCUCCCUUCCCCCAUCCCAGUUUCACUCUGCCUCCUCUUCCAGCUGCCUAUCACCCCCUCAUGAUUCUGCCUUCUUCUACUACCCAUAGUGCUUUCCCCUUACAUUCCUUCUUCACCUCUCCUG